rnacentral:tRNA from 1 species
GGGUCGUUAGCUCAGUUGGUUAGAGCAGCGGACUCAUAAUCCGUUGGUCGCAGGUUCGAGCCCUGCACGACCUACCA